AUCAUGACAAGUCACGGAGCUCAUGAGCCAACCCAAACCUGGCCGCUCUCGGAGAUGGAUGAAAUACCAUCCAGAGCUGGCUCUCUUUCCUCCCGGAAUGGAUUCAGGAAAUGCAUGGUUGUACCAUUGACAAAGCUCCCUCCCAAGGUCGUGAGGCUGUAAUGAGAACACGUCCACAUUUCCUCCAGGGCAUUCUGGCUGCCAGGAACCCAGAGGAAGGGGAAGGAGUGUCUGGAGAAAGGGUUACCUGCAAGGGAAAGAAGUCCCUGCCUUCUGGAAUUGUCAACUGGGAUUUAGAGGGAGACAGAAUGAAAACACUCAGUGGACAUCACCCUUUCCUAACCAUCUUUAGGGCAGACACACAGGAGAAUUAAAUGUCUCUGCUCUGAAAGAGUAGCCCUGAAGGAUUAAAUAAAUAAUGACGGACUCUAUAGUAUCUGUUCCAGAUGCUGUGCUGAUCUCCACACGCACUAUUGCAACCUUCAUGGCAUCCUAGUACUCUUUUCAUCUCUAUUUUGCAUGUCAGGUAAACUGAGGCUUUGAGACUAUGAAGCUAGAAGACCCAAGAACAGUGAGUGUUGAAACUAAAACUGAAUGUUGCCUCCCCAUGGAAGGUCAUCCGUUGCUCAACAAGAUGUUCAGUAAACCAACGCAUUCAGUAAAUAUUAAUGACAACAUGUUGAUGAGGCAGAAUAAGGUCAGCACUGAAUCAAUAGAGACCUGGCACUAGUGAGCUGUGUAACUUUGGACACCGUCUGCUUCCAGACCUGUUCAUUCUUCUCAUCCAUCCAGACUUUGUCAACACUGUCUCCUCUGGGAACACUUCCCAGGCAGACGUUGGUCCUUUCUACAAGGAUGAUUGGUGCAGGAAGCUAAAGUUCAAGAUUUCUCCCCCUUGCAUUCUCAGUACCUACCAGAAUGCCUGACCAAGCAUGCCUAGGAAGUCGGAAGGCCUCCCAGGAAAGAAGUCCAGUCACCACGCGAGUGUGAAGGUCACAGAGAAGGAAAUGCGCGCGGCAAAGAGGGGAGACAGAGAUCGGUCUCGGGAGGGCGUCUGAUUUAUCUGCACUCACUUCCUCAGCAGUUUGUCUUUCAUAUUUAAAUAUGUGAGCAGGAAGCCAAGCUCCAAGAGUAACAACACAGCACGGCAAGGCACGCGUGAGCACAGAUACUGUUGUCACCAAAUGCAACUUGCAGCAAACUUUAAUCUGAAGCAAAAUUUCAUCACGCUCAGUGUGUUGAAGGUUAU